rnacentral:rRNA from 1 species
UUUAUGGAGAGUUUGAUCCUGGCUCAGAGUGAACGCUGGCGGCGUGCCUAAUACAUGCAAGUCGAACGAUGAAGCUUCUAGCUUGCUAGAAUGCUGAUUAGUGGCGCACGGGUGAGUAACGCAUAGGUCAUGUGCCUCUUAGUUUGGGAUAGCCAUUGGAAACGAUGAUUAAUACCAGAUACUCCCUACGGGGGAAAGAUUUAUCGCUAAGAGAUCAGCCUAUGUCCUAUCAGCUUGUUGGUAAGGUAAUGGCUUACCAAGGCUAUGACGGGUAUCCGGCCUGAGAGGGUGAACGGACACACUGGAACUGAGACACGGUCCAGACUCCUACGGGAGGCAGCAGUAGGGAAUAUUGCUCAAUGGGGGAAACCCUGAAGCAGCAACGCCGCGUGGAGGAUGAAGGUUUUAGGAUUGUAAACUCCUUUUGUUAGAGAAGAUAAUGACGGUAUCUAACGAAUAAGCACCGGCUAACUCCGUGCCAGCAGCCGCGGUAAUACGGAGGGUGCAAGCGUUACUCGGAAUCACUGGGCGUAAAGAGCGCGUAGGCGGGAUAGUCAGUCAGGUGUGAAAUCCUAUGGCUUAACCAUAGAACUGCAUUUGAAACUACUAUUCUAGAGUGUGGGAGAGGUAGGUGGAAUUCUUGGUGUAGGGGUAAAAUCCGUAGAGAUCAAGAGGAAUACUCAUUGCGAAGGCGACCUGCUGGAACAUUACUGACGCUGAUUGCGCGAAAGCGUGGGGAGCAAACAGGAUUAGAUACCCUGGUAGUCCACGCCCUAAACGAUGGAUGCUAGUUGUUGGAGGGCUUAGUCUCUCCAGUAAUGCAGCUAACGCAUUAAGCAUCCCGCCUGGGGAGUACGGUCGCAAGAUUAAAACUCAAAGGAAUAGACGGGGACCCGCACAAGCGGUGGAGCAUGUGGUUUAAUUCGAGGAUACACGAAGAACCUUACCUAGGCUUGACAUUGAGAGAAUCCGCUAGAAAUAGUGGAGUGUCUGGCUUGCCAGACCUUGAAAACAGGUGCUGCACGGCUGUCGUCAGCUCGUGUCGUGAGAUGUUGGGUUAAGUCCCGCAACGAGCGCAACCCCCUUUCUUAGUUGCUAACAGGUUAUGCUGAGAACUCUAAGGAUACUGCCUCCGUAAGGAGGAGGAAGGUGGGGACGACGUCAAGUCAUCAUGGCCCUUACGCCUAGGGCUACACACGUGCUACAAUGGGGUGCACAAAGAGAAGCAAUACUGCGAAGUGGAGCCAAUCUUCAAAACGCCUCUCAGUUCGGAUUGUAGGCUGCAACUCGCCUGCAUGAAGCUGGAAUCGCUAGUAAUCGCAAAUCAGCCAUGUUGCGGUGAAUACGUUCCCGGGUCUUGUACUCACCGCCCGUCACACCAUGGGAGUUGUGUUUGCCUUAAGUCAGGAUGCUAAAUUAGCUACUGCCCACGGCACACACAGCGACUGGGGUGAAGUCGUAACAAGGUAACCGUAGGUGAACCUGCGGUUGGAUCACCUCCUUUCUAGA